UUUCUCGAAAUGGGCGGUGCAUUCAUCACAACACAUGAGCUUCUCACCAUCCUUGGAGCUAAAAACCUCUGAACCAAGAAGUUGAAGUGGAUACUCCCUGACUUUAGUAGACCUUGAGUCUGGGCCACUGCAGAACAAGGAAACAAGAGCUGGAGCACAGGAAAGCAUCGUAGCAUUGAGAAAGACAUGAGGCUUUGUGUUGGUGGUCUCACCUGGGAGCUUGGAGGCUCAAUGCAAGCCCACCUGAUGGAACCACCACAGCUUGAAGGGCCCACUGCUUCUCAAGAGAUGGCUGCCUCAUCUGGCACCUCAGGCAUAUGCUUUCAGAAAGGCAGCAACAGGAGGACCCACCACCCUUCCCUCCUUUUAACGUAUAAACUCUUUUGAGUGACAGACGAAGGAAUGGAAAUGAGAGAAAGCAGAGAAGAGGAGGAAGAAAAUGAGAAGAAAGAAUGGAAGAUGUGAUCAAAGCAGCAGAGCAUACACAACUUUUAUGCAAGCAUCGUCUCACUUUUUCUUUUUAUCUUUGGUGCAAGCUACAGUGUGAUAUCUCCUCGUCUCAAAAGAAAGGAAAAGGAAGAGAUCCCCUUGCAGCAAUCCUCAUGAAUCAGUGUUAAUGGUCCUUGGAUUCAAGUACCCAAAAAGCACGAGUUCAUGUCUGCAACUCUUGCAUGGCAUCAGCACAAGCCCUUCCUGUGACCUCUAAAAAGUUCAUGUGAUCUCCAAAGAAUAACAAGUGCUUCAUGUUCCCUUCUUCUGCUGCUGCUGCUGUUUUAAUCAUGCAUCAAUUCCCCAAAUCAUA